CUGUACUCCGGAUAUAUGGGUCUGGUCCUAGAGAAAUAUUUAAUCGGGAAAUGGCCACUCGAUAUUGUCGAGGAAGAAAGCCAGUUACGAAACAGCACGGGCGAUAGGCUCUUGUUUGAGAGGACAAAACCAACACUAGGCACACAUACCCUGAGGUUUCGAAAUGACCGGAAGCAUACACCCCAGACUAUAUUUUUGGAUUACUGGGUUAUAGAAGGAAAGUAUCACAGCCACCGGUGGGAAGAGAGUCAGUGGAUGGAUCCUGGGCAUGACCUUGCUCCUUAGUGACCCGUGACAGUCACCCUGGAGUGCCUGGCACAGGGCUCCGGAGGGAGUUGGACACCGCCAUCAAUGGCCAGGAAGUGACUGAGAUGCUCAGAAGUGUGUCACCUGUGCUGUCCUCGCGCAUUACUAAGAACAGUUAUGUGGAUGGAAUACCAAAGUUAACAACCAGGUGCUCUUUACUCGGUUACUGAACUGGACGGAGAAGAGAGGGAAUCCAAAACUGAGGUCAGCUGCCUUAUUGAUUUAGUCAGGAGGGAGAAAGUUGUCCCAGCCAGAGCACCCAGGAUGUCCAGCUGGCUGCCUUCAGGAUCUUACGUCUUGGGAAGCAGUGGGUCAACACCUAGCAUUACUUGUUGAAGUCGAACAAGGAUUUAUUUACUGAUCAGACAGAAUUUUUUUAAAUGUAUAUUUCCUGCUAAGAAUGGAAUUAAAAGGCAGCUAAUCCUGGCAGGAAUUGCUGAUUCCGUGUCUGAAGACAAGAAAUGUAAAGAUGAGUUCAGAACACUUUGUCAUACCAGAAAGCAGGGAAUAACCAAAUAUUGCUAGCGUCAUGCCGGGAUGACCUUGGAGUGAAGCCGAAGAGGCUCCCAGCGGAUCUAUAAAUUCACAGUGUCACUCAAAAGAAACAAACUUCGUAGGCCAUGUUGGAAGAUGUUAAAAGAACCGUCUUAUUUUGAGAACUGACAAAAAAGAAAUCGUGUAUUUUGGUGUUCCUAAAUGAAUUGUACUUUAGAGUAACCAAAUAGCUGAUGGAAUAAUUUUUCCUUAUGGGAGUAUUCCAGCUAAUAAUAACUCUUGGUAAUGAUUAUCGACAGCUUGUGAUAUCACAAAAAGAGACAAGCUGACACUAUAUGCCUCCUGAUGGAAAUACACAGUCCUAUGAAAUCAUGUUGCCCAAAAUUUGAACCUGAUUCUGAUCGUGCUUCUAGAUGUAACUAGCAAUUUUCAGAAAAUACAGUGAAGUAUUAAGUGGCACUGUAAGGACCUAAGCAGCAAAAUCCAGGCUAUAGGGGACAAAAGCUCCUCUGACAAAUAAAAAAUUUUUUUUAA